UCCCUGACAGUCCAGUGGUUAGGACUCAGCACUUUCACUGCAGGGGCCUGGGUUCAACCCCCAGUCAGGGAC
rfam:TPA: Bos taurus chromosome 2, whole genome shotgun sequence.